UUGAAUUAUUUUCUAUAUACAUUUUCAUUAUGUGCUUUAACUGUAGCUGACCAGUUGAUGGAAGAUACUGCAGAGUUUGGCAGGGAAAUAACCCAAGACAGCAAAGCGGCUCUUUUGGCGCAUUUACCAAGAGGACUAACAUAACCACAAAUUCAUGAGAUCAUGCAGGAGCCGUACAGUAUAACAGCAGUACAAGUUCUAUAAAAGAUCCACGACCUACUGAAGCCCAGCUAAUUAACAAAAAAGUUUUUAAAAACUGUAAUUUUAUCCCACCUGGGUACUUAUAAUUUACUAAGCUGCCUUCACAAGUUUUAGACUUGCAAUUAUAUUUUAAACUGUCACUUGGAAAGUAAUACAUGUACAUGCAUUAUGUUCUGAAUUUCUUUGAACAAUAAAAUUAUAUAAAAGUAUUUUAAUGAAAUUGAGCACCUAAAUUGCAUUAAAGUGAAAGUAGCUGAGAAAAAUAGUAUCCUGGUGCUCAUGGGCAGCUACAUAUAUUGUGACAAACAUGAAGUAGCUAAAAUAACUUAAAUUUUUCAUUUUGUUUCUUGAAUAUCGUUUGUACAGGGUUCGUGAAUUGUUACUGUAUAUUACUUGACUUGCUUGUAUUUUGUUACUUUGAAUACAUGUUGUUAAGGUUGCAUUAUACUUUUUAACUUUUAAAGUAGCGCCUGUUCUGUUAUGUAAGGGCCUGAUUUACGAUAAUGGACCUAGAGGCUUUGUAAGCAUGUAUUAAACAACACUUGUUUGAUCUGAAUAAUUUGUUAAAUAAAUGUAACACAAUU